rnacentral:tRNA from 1 species
AUUUUUUUAGUAUAUAAGUAUAUCUGACUUCCAAUCAGAAGGUCUAGUUCUUCUAGAAAAAAUA